GACGAACCGAGCGAACGUUAUUCGGAAUCACUGGGCUUAAAGGGUGCGUAGGCGGGCGAUCAAGUCAGGGGUGAAAGCCUCCAGCUCAACUGGAGAAGUGCCUCUGAUACUGGUCGUCUCGAGGGAGGUAGGGGCGUGCGGAACUUCCGGUGGAGCGGUGAAAUGCGUAGAUAUCGGAAGGAACACCAGUGGCGAAAGCGGCGCGCUGGACCUCUUCUGACGCUGAGGCACGAAAGCCAGGGGAGCAAACGGG
rnacentral:rRNA from 1 species